rnacentral:rRNA from 1 species
AUUGAACGCUGGCGGCAGGCCUAACACAUGCAAGUCGAGCGGAUGAAGGGAGCUUGCUCCUGGAUUCAGCGGCGGACGGGUGAGUAAUGCCUAGGAAUCUGCCUGGUAGUGGGGGAUAACGUCCGGAAACGGGCGCUAAUACCGCAUACGUCCUGAGGGAGAAAGUGGGGGAUCUUCGGACCUCACGCUAUCAGAUGAGCCUAGGUCGGAUUAGCUAGUUGGUGGGGUAAAGGCCUACCAAGGCGACGAUCCGUAACUGGUCUGAGAGGAUGAUCAGUCACACUGGAACUGAGACACGGUCCAGACUCCUACGGGAGGCAGCAGUGGGGAAUAUUGGACAAUGGGCGAAAGCUUGAUCCAGCCAUGCCGCGUGUGUGAAGAAGGUCUUCGGAUUGUAAAGCACUUUAAGUUGGGAGGAAGGACAGUAAGUUAAUACCUUGCUGUUUUGACGUUACCAACAGAAUAAGCACCGGCUAACUUCGUG